UGCAGUCGACGAUGCCUUCGGGCAUAGUGGCGCACGGGUGCGUAACGCGUGGGAAUCUGCCUUUGGGUCUGGGAUAACUCAGGGAAACUUGAGCUAAUACCGGAUGAUGACUUCGGUCCAAAGAUUUAUCGCCCAAAGAUGAGCCCGCGUAGGAUUAGCUAGUUGGUGGGGUAAAGGCCUACCAAGGCGACGAUCCUUAGCUGGUCUGAGAGGAUGAUCAGCCACACUGGGACUGAGACACGGCCCAGACUCCUACGGGAGGCAGCAGUGGGGAAUAUUGGACAAUGGGCGAAAGCCUGAUCCAGCAAUGCCGCGUGAGUGAUGAAGGCCUUCGGGUCGUAAAGCUCUUUUACCCGGGAUGAUAAUGACAGUACCGGGAGAAUAAGCUCCGGCUAACUCCGUGCCAGCAGCCGCGGUAAUACGGAGGGAGCUAGCGUUGUUCGGAAUUACUGGGCGUAAAGCGCACGUAGGCGGCUACUCAAGUCAGAGGUGAAAGCCCGGGGCUCAACCCCGGAACUGCCUUUGAAACUAGGUGGCUAGAAUCUUGGAGAGGCGAGUGGAAUUCCGAGUGUAGAGGUGAAAUUCGUAGAUAUUCGGAAGAACACCAGUGGCGAAGGCGACUCGCUGGACAAGUAUUGACGCUGAGGUGC
rnacentral:rRNA from 1 species